AAUGGACUUUUCUCUUUUCUCGAUUUUAGGUGGUCCUGGGCAGCAACAGCCUUCUCCAAGAGAAGAGAUCCACGAACAGGAACUGAAUCACCACCAAGUUCUGGACGUGAUUGAAGAGCAGCAAGGUGGACACGACAAGCAACACGAGACUGUGCACGAGACUGUGCCAGAGCCUGUGCCAGAGCAUGGCAAGUAGCAGGAAUCCAUUUCUGGAGACAAAGAUCUUGACAACAAUGAGCUACUUUUAGCUCUUGCGAAAGAUCCAAGAGCUGCAAAAGCUUUAGCACUACCGACGAUCACCAGCACAUUUCACCACUGUUCUAUGAGUAAUUGUGUGAUUGUAGUCAAUGGUCAUAGCCAAAGUGAGCUUGAAUUAUUCAAGCUUGCUUUGAUUAAAAAAUAAAAAAGCA